rnacentral:rRNA from 1 species
UACGUAGGUGGCAAGCGUUGUCCGGAUUUACUGGGCGUAAAGAGCGCGCAGGCGGUCGAUUAAGUCGAGUGUGAAAGCCCCCGGCUCAACUGGGGAGGGUCAUUCGAUACUGAUCGACUUGAAGGCAGGAGAGGGAAGUGGAAUUCCGGGUGUAGUGGUGAAAUGCGUAGAUAUCCGGAGGAACACCAGUGGCGAAGGCGACUGCCUGGCCUGUUCUUGACGCUGAGGCGCGAAAGCUGGGGGAGCAAACGGG